rnacentral:lncRNA from 1 species
CAGAGGAGCGCUGUUUCUGGAGGAGUUAGGGGAAGGAGGCUGCCUGGUAAGCCAGGAAAGGGGCUUCUGGCCGUUCUGUUGGAGCGCCUCUGACUGACUUCCCCCAUGUGUCCGUGUGGCCACACCGUGCUACUUUCAGAGGCAGUGGGCUUUUCGCUAAGGGAUAAAAAGAAGUAAAACCUUGCCUUUAGCGCAGCUCUCCUUCACUGGGCAGAUUGCUCUCCCUCCCCACUCUCCCAGGCCCAAAUUGGAUCUCAGCGCCUGGGAGCUCCAACUUUAGCAAGUGCGAAAUCCUGUCUUCGGUUUUGGAAUUUUCAUCCGCACAGACUAUAUCAGCCACGGAUAGGAUAUGUGAGAAUACCAGCAUGUCAAGGCUGGGAAUCAUCCUUAGGCAUCACCUAGCCAGUCCUGCCUCUCAUUUUAAGAUGCAGAGUGUUCAUAUGAGGAGAGACUUUCCCUUGUCUCCGUCAUCUGUGAUUUCACUUCCCUGACAGAAGACGAAGCUUCCAUCUCAGAUGUUUUCUUAAAUGAUGAAACAGCAUACGCCUCUGUUCUUGUCAGCUCAGGGAAAACAGAUCUGGGGACCUCUUCAUCUCUGCGUUGGGAAGCAUAGGUGGUAUAAUCCCCUCCUGUCACGUCCAACGUUGCAUAGUCAGAAGCUUCGCCCUUGUAGUUGGUGCACACAGCACGGUGAUCACAGGAUCUGGUUUGCCACUGAAAGGAAUCUUGAUGCUGACCACUUCACCUCGGAGAGCAUGAACUGCUCCCAUGCCUUCAAGAGUUUUAGUGGGUAACCAGGAUGGAACUGCGGUGUUGCUUGCAGGAGAAGCUUACUACUGGUUUCUACUUCUCCAACCUCAUUGGUGGCUAUGCAGAGAAUAGACGCCUUGAUGGCUCCUCUGGCAGUUCUUGAUGACCAUGGAUGAGCUAAUGGCUGUGGUCUCAAUGGUGGCUUCUUGAGAUGGUAUUGCCUCUGAAUUUGCUGAUUCAGAAGAUGUCGGACUCAUGUUAUCCUAUAGAAGAUGUAACAACCCAUAUACAUUUAUGAAAAUCAGGAACUACAUUAUUAUAAUGAUGAAGGAAAAGCCCAAGAAAUCAACCAACCUGAAACCUGCAAUGAAGCUGUGCAGCUGUCUUUGCCAACAGGGUUCUGCACCUCAAAACUGUAUACCCCACUGUCACUCGGUGCUACAUUGAUGAUCUUAAGGCCGGAUACUUUGUUGAAGAAGCUUAUUUUGUAUUUGUUGUCACUUGUUAGCUCUUUUCCAUCCUUAAACCACUUAGUACUGAGUUCAGGGGUGCCAGCUACUGUACACUCCAAGGUACAGGUGUCUCCCGUGGUAACUUUUAUGGAUUCUGGCUUUUCUACAAUUGUUGCAGGCUCUGGAAUGAAAUGUAAAAGAUAUCCAUAUUUUAAACUCAAAUUGAAAAACUAAAGAAAAUACAGAUCCUGGUGAGUGUGUGCCUUGUAUCUGUGAUAACAUCAUCUUUUUACUAACCGAGAACGGAUAGCGUGGCGAAGCACUCUUGCAUCCCAG